rnacentral:lncRNA from 1 species
AACAGGUGUUAACACCCUGGUAAGUGUACCAAAUCGUAUCAAGUAAUAAAGAGACGGUAAUUCCGAAUAUCGUUUCCCAAGGGACUCUUAAGCCUAAUCGUUUAUGUGAAUUCAUUUCUUAAGACUUGAUGAAGAUUAAAUUUAGGGUUUAUAAUGCAAAACUAAAAUAAACAUGCAAAUGUAAAAACUUGAAUAAUUAAUAGAUAAAGAUAUGAAUGAAUGGUGUUGUUGGGGUUUACGGUUUCAUCCUAAUCCACUCUGCUAUAUCUACUAUCCUUAUUUUGUUAUCAAUGUUCGCGCAACUUUCUAAUUUACUCUAAACCCGAUGUCUCAGUGAAGAGAGCCUACUCCCAAUUACUAGUUCAUGCAUUUCAGUGAACAGAAGCUUAAAGCAAUUGACCGUCUUAUUCCUAUGUCUAAGUAAUAUUUCAUAAUCAAGAGAAUUUCCCUCAUGUCUAGAUUCCCCC